rnacentral:rRNA from 1 species
UACGGGGGGAGCAAGCGUUGUUCGGAUUUACUGGGCGUAAAGGGCGCGUAGGCGGUCAGAACAAGUCAGUUGUGAAAUCUCCGGGCUUAACUCGGAAAGGUCAACUGAUACUGUGCGACUAGAGUGCGGAAGGGGCAACUGGAAUUCUCGGUGUAGCGGUGAAAUUCGUAGAUAUUGGGAAGAACACCGAUGGCGAAGGCAGCCAUCUGGACCGACACUGACGCUGAGGCGCGAAAGCGUGGGGAGCAAACAGG